ensembl:snRNA U4 U4 spliceosomal RNA
AGCUUUGCGCAGUGGCAGUAUCGUAGCCAAUGAGGUUUAUCCGAGGCGCGAUUAUUGCUAAUUGAAGUGGAAUUCAAAACCCGUUCCUUCACAUUCAGUCAGAAUUCAAGAAUUGAAUUUAUGUAGCAAGCUUUAGCUC